UACGUAGGGACCGAGCGUUGUCCGGAAUCAUUGGGCGUAAAGAGCGUGUAGGCGGCCACUUAAGUCCUGCGUGAAAUCUUGCGGCUCAACCGCAAGCGGUCGUGGGAAACUGGGUGGCUAGAGUGCGGGAGAGGAGAGUGGAAUUCCUGGUGUAGCGGUGGAAUGCGCAGAUAUCAGGAAGAACACCCGUGGCGAAGGCGGCUCUCUGGAACGCAACUGACGCUGAGACGCGAAAGCGUGGGGAGCGAGCAGG
rnacentral:rRNA from 1 species